UUGAAGAUGAAAUCUUCCAGGAUGGCACUCACAGCUGACCUCCAAGGGGGUCAGGAGACCCACAGCAAAGGUCUCUGUGCUGCACCUGUGCUGACCCAGCCCCCGUCUGCUUCUGCCUCCCCGGGAGCCUCUGCCCAGCUCCCCUGCACCCUCAGCAGUGAGCACAGCAGCUAUACCAUUCCCUGGUAUCAACAGAGACUGGGAAAUGGCCCUCGGUACGUGAUGUACAUUAAGAGUGACGGAAGCCAGAAGAAGGGGGACAGGAUCCCUGAUGACUUCUCGGGCUCCAGCUCUGGGGCCAACUGCUACUUAACCAUCUCCAGCCUCCAGUCUGAGGACGAGACUGACUAUGUCUGUGGUGAGAGCCACACACACAACAGCCUUUUCACAGAAGCUGCAGAGACACAGACCAAAGAGGAGUGAGGCCCACACCUCCAUCCCCCAUCC